CACAAUUUCCACGUAGUGAUCCGAUGAAAAUGCACUGCUUUCGAAUAUGUGCAAAAGAACGACAAAUGUCGAGCGAAAAUUUCACACAAACGAUGUCCGAUAGAAAUGUCAAUGAAGAGAUGUGAGGAAAACUUGCGGGAGCUCGUGUGCGUGUAUGUCAAAAUUGUUGUGUGCGUGUUGUCCAAUUGGAAAAUGUCAAAUUGACAGUUGGCUGUUGGCAGAGUUGCAUGCAAUUUGUAAAAAUAAACGAAAUAAGUUUGUGUAAACAGCUUGCGCAAACUUUUGAAAAUAUGCUGUAUAUCUAAAAUAAAUUUUUUUCGAGAUACAUAACAAAACAGAAAGAGAAAAUUAUGGACUCCCCUAGGUAUUUGCAACAAUUUUUGUUUGGUUUUUAGAUUUGAGCAGAUGCUGCAGGAGAUCGGCUACGGGUUCAAAGGGAUCCAAACUUUUGCAAAACGAAAAUGCGUUCUUUCGCCUUGCAAGUGACUUAAAGGUUUAAAUGAAUUUAUAAUAUAUAAACUGCCGGA